AGCAGGGGGCGAACAAACUAAAAAGAGUGAGCCGGCAGCGCACAGUGCGCGGCCGGCAGGC
rfam:Pantoea gaviniae strain LMG 25382 Contig0105_, whole genome shotgun sequence.